AUUCCAAUCCCCACGAGUCUGUUCGUCUCGGCGGCGGCUGCGCGCAGGGGGUCGCUUCAUUCCCAUGUCUCUCUGCUUCGCUCAUCCACGAACCUCCGUCUCGCCGCUGCCGCCGUCACCGCCACCGCCCCCAUCAUUCCCCUCUGACCAUGUCUCCUCAGGCGAACCAUGGGUGGGCCGCCGCGGCCAGGUCCUAACCGUAGCCAUGCACCCGUUUUCCUCCCCCGCUACAACGCCGUGAGGGCAGCAUCAGCAACGCGAGAAGGAUAUGAAGGCAAUAAUGCGGUUGAUUUCUUAUAUAUCGUUCGGUUCUAGAUGCCUGCCCUUCUCUUUGCUUUGUUUUGUCCAAAUCCUAACUCAUAAAUCGUGAGUUCGUUCCGUGUUUUUUUUGUGGUUUCCCUCAGCCGAUGUAGCUAUAUUGAAAGAAGAUUACCUUCUACCGUUUUCACCAUGGAUGCGUGAUGAUUCUUUCUUGCCGUGGCUUGGAUAUAGCUGCUCACUGCUCCCAUCUAAUGUGUAUCAUCGCAUUUUUUAAGGAAAAAACUGUUUGAAGAUGUACGGGUACAACUUAGUAUUUUUUAACGUUGGGCAAUGACAGCUUCAUGCAGUAAAUCCUGGAGCAUUUUUUAAAGUAUGCUUGUUUUAUUAUUCAGUAUAGUUAAAUAUUUCAGUUUGGGUAACCAAAACUGAAGCCUUGCAUCUAUUGAAAAAAUAGAUACGAUUAUACUCUAAUUGAUGCAGUUAAAAUUUGACUACCUAUGUAGGUAUUGCUUCGUCUGCACUUGCAAGAUCAUAAUAGGUAGUGCUUCAUCAUAAGCUAUUUUGUUUAACUUCUGACUUAACCACCCAUGCGCUUUCAUGCCUUGGGCAAACCAUUGGUGCGUUGCUGCCAUCACUCUUCAAGAUUAGAGGAAAGGAGGAAGGACGAGGACCAGGAUGCAGCAUGGUCACAAAAGGCCUACAAGUCUACGACUGGACGGCUAGACGCGUGAUACAGUGCCUGCCACAGAGUAGUCAUAUCAGAGUCGCAUAGACGAGGAUGACAGGGCAAAUCACGGCAUCCUACAGCACCGCACACAUCCGUUUGGUGGUUGAGCCUGGUUCUUCUCCUCCCCCUGGAGUUCAACCUCUCUCCCUCCGCCUUCCCCUGCUUGGUUCUCAGGACGUGGUGUUUUCAGGAUUUGCGCUCCACGGAACACCUCCCCCUGGACCUGGAGCAACAAGUCCCUUCCGCCCGGCAUUGCGGCAGUCCUUUUUGCUGUGCUUCAACAAGAUUCUGCCGCUGCUUAGGUGAAGGAAACUUUCGGGGCUUUCUACAGUGAGAAGCUACAGGUUUCUCUCUCGUUAAGCCAGGACAUUGAUAGGCGGCGAGAUGAGGAAUUCCUGUGAGUGCUGCAAGAGAUACUGGACUCAUUUGCAUGGAAAGGUCAAGUGUUUCUUCACCCACAUGGACAGAAACUCUACCCAUAGCAUGGUCAUACCAGAGAGAUUCGUGAACUAUUUCGCGUGGAAGCUGUCAGGAACCAUUGAACUAGAAGCCCCAAAUGGUAAUGUGUACGAUGUCCGAAUUACUGAGCGAAGGAACAAAACAGUGCUCCGAUCUGGGUGCUCCGAUCUGGGUGGGAGGCGUUUGUCGACGCCAAUCAUAUUGUAGAAAGUGACUCGUUGAUGUUCCGAUACCGUGGAAAUUGUCGCUUCAAGGUCGUGGUCUUUGAUUGUAGUGGUUGUGAGAAAGUGUUUUCCUGUGCUCGCAUACUGACCAAUAUUAGUGAUCAAGAACCAAGCACAAAUUCUACGGACAUUUCAACCAGUUUCAGUGAUGGUAAUACUCAUUCGUCAGCAAGACGACAAUCAGAUGAUUGCCAGAGUGGAAGCUCAGGCCACCGUAGAAAACGAGCAAAGAAAGAAGCAAUAUCCUAACCUUCGGAGGAUUCGUCAGGAGAAGACAGUCCUUAUGAGCAUGAGUCGUCUGAAUCCGAUGAUCACACGCUCCCAACGCCUCUUUAUGUGUUAUCAGGGAAGUGCUAUGUAACAGAAGAAGAUGACGCCAAUAUAGUUGAACUUGUCCAGGAAAUUCAACCUGAAAUGCCUUCGCUUGUGGCUAUGAUGACGAAGCCCAGUGCGAAACCAUAUCCUGAUGUGGUAAUUCCCAAGGAUUACGCACUCGCACACUUUCCUCGCAAAAAUCAGACUAUCAAACUACAACUGCCUGAGCAGAGCAAGAAAUGGUACUGCGAGUUCCAUGUAAAAUCUAAUGGAGGUCAUUGCAGUCUUUAUGAUUGUGGCUUUGUUCGUGACAAUCAUUUACUGGAGGGAGAUCUGUGUGUCUUUCAGCCCAUGCCGAAUUGUAAGGGUAGAACAUUUAAAGUGAUUGUCCAUCUGUUUCGCAAAGCGACUAUUGAUCAUCCGUCAAGUGAAAAUAUCUCAAAACGUGGUUUGCCAAGCACAAAGAAUACCCCAACAUUGUGUAUUAAGGAGGAACCAAAAGACGAUGAAGAAACCUUCUCUUCGGGUUAUGACGAACAUCGGAUAAGUAAGAAGUAUCCUGAUCAUGAUGGUACAGAACCCCUACAUGAUGGCAAUGGGUGCCGAACUAACGGAAGUGCAGGACAAGAUAGUUUUGGAGAAAGUUGGAGCCAUUGCAUCAGAUCUGCCCAUUUACGUGGCAGUCAUGACCAAGACCAAUGUCCGCGUCUCACUAACCUUUGGCACGGAGUACGCUGCCAAAUACCUUCGAAAAGGAGAUCGUAAUUUGGUGCUUCAGCUGGAGGGGAAGAGCCAGCAAUGGCAUGGCGUGAUGCGCGACCACAAAGGUGCGCUGAGGAUAAGUGGAGGCUGGACUUCUUUUGCGAGCGAGAACGGCCUGACAUCUGCCUCUUCGAGCUGAUGAAAAACAAGGGGAAACUGAAGAUGAUGGUCUACAUCGUUUCCAGAGAAUUGUUAGCUUGAGACAUGCCUCGACUCUAUGUGCUGGCAUUUUGUAUAUUCAUUCAUGGGCUCGUUGAUGCUUUUGUGAUUUGGAAGUGGAAACGGUGGGCAUGGGACCAUUCGCUGAUUAUGGCCAACUACUGUAGUAAUUGUCAUCAUACUUCAGUGGCAGCUUUAUUUUGUAUCCUGAAGUUUAAACAAGUUAAUGGUGAUGAAGUUUCUAUGAGGAGGAGGCCCUGAGGUUUAAAG
rnacentral:rRNA from 1 species